AGUUGGGCAACAAAUUAGCUGAUCUUGAGGAGGUGCUUACAAUGUGGGAAGACCUGGAGCUCCAGAAGAAAAUUUCCGCUAAAGCAGCAGAGGGCAAAUCCACAACGACAAAGCGUGGGGAGCCUUGCUUUUGGAAAUACUGUGUCUGACACGGACAAAAGGGGCAGAUAGCCACUAUGAAAACUUGCUGCAAUGCUCAGCAUAGCCUUAAAAACACCAGUAAUUUAAACACACUGUAUUUAUUUUAGAACUAUAGUGAUGUACAUUUUACGUGGCCCUAAGAUACAGUCUGGAAACCUCUGAGCGAUGUUGCUGUACAUGCUGCCAAACAAGAAUUUUAUAAUAUAACAGAAAUAUUAUUGAGUUCUUUAAUUCAUCUGGAUUUCUAAUUUAACCGCUGCUUGUGUUUUUGUUGCCCUCUCGUGGUUGAAGUCGGCAUAACGUUUUCUUUACAGACCUGCCAUUAUCUCACUUUCCACUGCUUUUAGAAAUAAACAAAUGUUUGUUUUAUUGUGUAAAUAAAAUUGUAAUGUUUACUUUUUGUUUUGAAAUUUCUGAAAAAAUAAAAGAUAAAUUGCAAAGUC